UUGCAUUAUGAUACAGGAAUUUGCUGGCUUUGUGUUUACAGAAGUACCUGACUAUGCCGGACUUUUGUGCAGCCUACGGAUGCUCUAAUCACCGCAGUCUGCAAACAAGAACCCGUGGGAUCACCUUUCACAUGUUUCCCAAAACCGAAGAGAGGAGGAGGCAGUGGGAACUCGCCCUAAGAAGGGACGGUUUUGUUUCCUGUGACAGGACACUGCUCUGCAGUGAGCACUUCAGGAGUGAGGAAUUUGACCGGACAGGGCAGACUAAUGGCAAAUCGCUACCACUAGGAGCAUAUAUCGCCACCUACUAUGUAUUUAUUAAAUCUUCAUGUUCCAUGAGACGCAGCACUAUGUUCCCCACAUAUGUUUAUGUUUGCUCAGUCUAAUAAACCCAUAACAUGGUUGUGAAAGAAUACCAAA